AUCAUCAUCAUCAUCAUCAUCAAGGUGUCCGUGGCGCAGACAAAGCUCAACAGUCUGCCUACGCAGACAUCAGCGGUCAGAGAAGUGCAAGUCUACUCCAGAAAUCGAUCAGAGUGCGUCACCUCAGUGUGUGUAAGACUAACUGGCGCACACACACCUCUUCCCUGCUGCUUUCGUUCUUUGACUUCUUCUGUCCAACCCUGGACCACAUGGAGCUGGGAGAACUGGGCAGUGGCUGUGAAGAUGAGACCUGUGACCUGGCAUCCAGCUUCACAGAGGACUGCAUCAACCAAGAGUGCCCUGUAUUUGGAAUGAUUGAGUUAGUGUGUGUGACUGUCAUCUACAUUCCUCUGAUGCUCUUUGGCCUUGUUGGAAAUAUACUAACCAUCCUGGUGGUUUGGCUCCGUCCACAAAUGAGAAGCUCUACCUACCUGUACCUGAGCAGCAUGGCUGUUAGCGAUCUGCUGAUACUCCUGCUGUUGCCUCUGGAUCUAUAUAAGCUCUGGAGGCCCAGUCCAUGGCCCCUGGGAGACCUUGCCUGUAAGCUCUCAAUGUUCCUCUCGGAGUGUUGCACCUUCUGCACCAUCCUCCACAUUACCUUCCUCUCCCUUGAGAGGUACCUGGCAGUGUGCUGGCCCAUCACAGCCAAGACCUUGGUGACGCGGCGUAGAACCAGGGUUUUAAUCGGCUGCCUCUGGCUUGGUGCGGCCAUCAGUGCCGCUCCAGUGCUGGUCAUGGUUGGAGUGGAGGAAGUUGGGGGUACGGAAGGGAUUAGUGGAUGGAGGGAGGACAAGAGCUUGAUAAGGGAAGUAGAACAGGAAAGAGUUCCUGUAGGUGAAGCCACACGUGGAAGUGCACAGGUAGCUUUAAUGGAUGCAGAAAUAGAGGUAAUAAAGUGGCAUGUAAAUGAAACAAAGGUUGGAGACCUUAGUAACAAAGGGGAGCAAGUAGGAGAAAUACUAGAUGAGACAAGACAAGAAAAUGACAAAGACACAAGCAAGGAAAAACAAGAUGUUGACUAUAGAGAUGAAGGACAAACAAACAAGCAAAACAAAAUGAAAGAGGACGAGGGAGGAGGACGGGAAAGCCACGAAGAAGUUGACAGGAGAGAGUGUCGCUGCUCGGACUACGCCGCUACUUCUGGCUUGUUGUCGGCCAUGACCAUUCUCUCCAACAUGUACUUCCUCAUCCCUUUCUGCAUCCUGGGACUGGUCUACAGCUUGAUUGGAAGGACACUGUGGCUCCGUCCACAAAGCAGCCGCAAAGAUCAGAGUCAUCGAAACACUGUCAAGAUGCUGGAGCAUUAUACAGAAACCUCCAUCACAACCAGGCUCAGGGUGGAUGGCCAUCAGCCGGCUCCACAGAAGAGGAACACAGUAGCUCCACUUCACUGACACCAACCACAAGUAGAGCAGCGCUCUGAGAACCAAGCGAAGACCUGGAGCUAGAAGAUCUUUGAGGGCAUGUUGGUUUGAUCAUUAACUGAGUGAUCGUCCUGGCCUUCGUCCUCUGCUGGCUGCCCUACCACGUUGGUCGGACCAUAUUCUCCUUCUCUUUCACUGCUUACACGCAGGAAGCUCACACACACACAAACUCACACCCAGACACUAAUGUGUACCCUGACAGGACAGACAGAGAUAUGAACGGACACGCUAUGAUCAAGACCGAGAAGCUGACUGCACACAAUCUCAUAGAUGACUGUCAAACAUGUGCAACGACCAAAGUCAGACACAACACGGUGGAUAAUCUAGACACACACUUAACAGACACAGAGACUACUAGCGCACACAGGCCUUACACCACACGCACAUAUGCUACACCUACUGCUAUACACAUGGAUAGCACACACAAUGACACGUCGCACACACACCCUGACAAAAAGGCUUUAUUUUACUACUAUCUGUCUCAGUAUUUCAACCUGGUGUCCUCCGUCCUCUUCUACCUCAGUGCUGCUGUCAACCCACUGCUCUACAACCUGAUGUCAGCUCGAUACAGACACGCUGUGCACAGCCUCAUGCACAAACACUCUCUAACACAGUCACAUCGGCUGCGCACCACCAUCACGGCACGGCACUCCACCACCACUGUGUGACACUGUGUGUUGACUGACUGCUCACAGAGUGUUUUCUGUCUUCUUUCAAACAGUGGACACGUUUUUAUUUAUGUAGGGUUAUGGUUAUAUAUUAUAUAUUAAAACUUACUUAGUAACAUGAAGAAUCCUCACCUGGACACUAGAACUAGAAUAAAUGUGUUCUCACCUGUUGUUAAUGCUAUAUGAAAUCAAAAUAAAAAAGCAACUUUGUCAGACAUUAAACACAGAACAUGCUGUGAACAGCAUUUAUAGCAUAAUAAUAAAGAAAAAAAAACACAGAUCAUCAUCUAAAAUUUGUUAUAUAAUACAGAACCAGUGUCACACCUGGAGGAUGUGUUAAUUCUAAAUGUGGUACUUUCCACAAUUUUUGGGGGGGUAUAAAGUAAACACACACGCACGCACACACACACAGAACAGGGCUACCGUUCUGAUUGAUGUAGUUUCAUAGACGCUGAGAGGUUUUGCUGUAACAUACAUUACAUUACGUGUGCUGCCGUGUCAGAUCCAGAUAUAAAUGUCAUGGUGGAGGUUUUAUCACCGCUGCAAAGAGGCGUGUAGGUCUCACUGUCUGCCAGCAGGAAACACUCCUGAAUGGAUUUUCUGAGGUGUGGUGAACACCUUGCCCUCAGGCCACAGGACAAUUGAUUUGAUUGUGUUGGUAACCCAGGCAACUUUUAUUAUGUGAGCAAAUGUUGUUUUUUUUUAUAAGUAAAAUAUGUAUAUAUAAAAUAGAUGAUGACGAGUGUUUUAAAUAAAUAUUAUAGUUUGUAUAUUUGAACUGUUUAUCAAUAAAAAUCCCUCUUGAUAUGAGGGAUAUGAGAAUAUUCAUUAUUUUCUUUAGCGUAAGACUAUAGAUUUUUUAAUUAUGUUAAAAUACUGUAUGCUUUGUUUUUUAUGUAAUGUUAAGUUAUAUAAAGUGUUUGACAUAAGAACUGUCAACAACAGUAGUGGGAUUAAUAUCACUUUUUAUGUUAAAUACAAAAUGCUUUCUAUGACUGUGGGUGAGUACUUUAAUGCCUUGCUUUAGGGACCAGCUCAGCUGUAAACCAAUUGGCCAAAUUUGUUGUUGCUAAUGAUUGCUGAUGAUUUUUCACUGUCAGAAAUGCAAAGCAUUAUUUUUAAUAAAGACUCCGAGCUGUUAUUUCACAGAGCUCUGCACCCACUUUCCUACAGUCAUUGGUUUUUAGAGCACUUCUUUUCUGCAUCACAUGAGCUGAACCUUGGUUUUGAACAUGUGACCUAAUCACGAUCUGAUGUCCUUCUGAUUCUGUUUUUUGUUUGAUUACAUCACGGUUGGUAAAACCCCUUCCUGUCUAUCUGCAAAAUCAAGCAAAGCUUAUAUCAUUCUGAUAUAUAUCACAUCAUCAUCUAAACCUUGUCGGCUAACUUGCUGUGUUAAUGCUACUUUUCGUAUUUGAACAGCUUGUUUGCUGUGUUUUGUGUCUAGACUUUGCACACAGUGACUGAAGCUCUGCUUGUACUUGACUGUUCAUUUUCGCUGUGUUGUUUUGUUUCUACACCUGUUUCUUUUACAGCAACUGUUAAAUGCUGAGAUGGGAACAAACUGCAGCAGUUCUCCAAAGACCGUAGACUGUCUUUAUGAGAUCAUGCAAAGACAUAGCAAAUUAAGCCAAGAGAUUACAUGUGUUCAGAUUCAGUCAACAAAUGAGGUUUCCUUAUAUAUGUUACCAUGCUGACAGGUGCUCUUGGUAGAAAGUAGUAUUGUUGGCUCAAUGUGCAAACCUUUGUUACUUAUAUUUGCAUUUGUCCAUCUGUUGGUUUUUGUCUCAAGUGAA